ACGGAAGGCAGCAGUGGGGAAUAUUGGGCAAUGGGCGCAAGCCUGACCCAGCAACGCCGCGUGAAGGAAGAAGGCUUUCGGGUUGUAAACUUCUUUUAAGGGGGAAGAGGAGAAGACGGUACCCCUCGAAUAAGCCACGGCUAACUACGUGCCAGCAGCCGCGGUAAUACGUAGGUGGCAAGCGUUGUCCGGAUUUACUGGGUGUAAAGGGCGUGCAGCCGGGAAGGCAAGUCAGAUGUGAAAUCCACGGGCUUAACCUGUGAACUGCAUUUGAAACUGUAUUUCUUGAGUGCUGGAGGGGCAAUCGGAAUUCCUCGUGUAGCGGUGAAAUGCGUAGAUAUGAGGAGGAACACCAGUGGCGAAGGCGGAUUGCUGGACAGUAACUGACGGUGAGGCGCGAAAGUGUGGGGAGCAAACAGGAUUAGAUACCCUGGUA
rnacentral:rRNA from 1 species